AUUAGAUACCCGGGUAGUCCACGCCCUAAACGAUGUCAACUAGCUGUUGGGGCCUUCGGGCCUUAGUAGCGCAGCUAACGCGUGAAGUUGACCGCCUGGGGAGUACGGUCGCAAGAUUAAAACUCAAAGGAAUUGACGGGGACCCGCACAAGCGGUGGAUGAUGUGGAUUAAUUCGAUGCAACGCGAAAAACCUUACCUACCCUUGACAUGUCUGGAAUCCCGAAGAGAUUUGGGAGUGCUCGCAAGAGAACCGGAACACAGGUGCUGCAUGGCUGUCGUCAGCUCGUGUCGUGAGAUGUUGGGUUAAGUCCCGCAACGAGCGCAACCCUUGUCAUUAGUUGCUACGAAAGGGCACUCUAAUGAGACUGCCGGUGACAAACCGGAGGAAGGUGGGGAUGACGUCAAGUCCUCAUGGCCCUUAUGGGUAGGGCUUCA
rnacentral:rRNA from 1 species